CCUACGGGGGGCAGCAGUGGGGAAUAUUGGACAAUGGGGGCAACCCUGAUCCAGCCAUGCCGCGUGUGUGAAGAAGGCCCUCGGGUUGUAAAGCACUUUCAGUGAGGAAGAACGCCUGGUGGUUAAUACCCAUCAGGAAAGACAUCACUCACAGAAGAAGCACCGGCUAACUCCGUGCCAGCAGCCGCGGUAAUACGGAGGGUGCGAGCGUUAAUCGGAAUUACUGGGCGUAAAGCGCGCGUAGGUGGCUUGAUAAGCCGGUUGUGAAAGCCCCGGGCUCAACCUGGGAACGGCAUCCGGAACUGUCAAGCUAGAGUGCAGGAGAGGAAGGUAGAAUUCCCGGUGUAGCGGUGAAAUGCGUAGAGAUCGGGAGGAAUACCAGUGGCGAAGGCGGCCUUCUGGACUGACACUGACACUGAGGUGCGAAAGCGUGGGUAGCAAACAGGAUUAGAUAUCCUUGUAGUC
rnacentral:rRNA from 1 species